rnacentral:rRNA from 1 species
UGAGGAACCUGCCCCGAAGACCGGGAUAACCCUCCGAAAGGAGGGCUAAUACCGGAUGCCCUCACCGGACCGCAUGAUCUGGUGAGGAAAUGGAUUCCGCUUCGGGAGGGUCUCGCGGCCUAUCAGCUUGUUGGUGGGGUAGUGGCCUACCAAGGCGACGACGGGUAGCCGGCCUGAGAGGGUGACCGGCCACACUGGGACUGAGACACGGCCCAGACUCCUACGGGAGCAGCAG